CGGAGGGAUCAUUAAAGAGUUCUAUAACUCCCAAACCCAUGUGAACAUACCUAACGUUGCCUCGGCAGGUCGCACCUACCUUGUAGCACCCUACCCUGUAGGGCCUACCCGGGAGGUGCGGGUAAGCCUGCCGGCGGCCCACCAAACUCUGUUUGAUAUUGAAUUCUGAACCUAUAACUAAAUAAGUUAAAACUUUCAACAACGGAUCUCUUGGUUCUGGCAUCGAUGAAGAACGCAGCGAAAUGCGAUAAGUAAUGUGAAUUGCAGAAUUCAGUGAAUCAUCGAAUCUUUGAACGCAUAUUGCGCCCAUUAGUAUUCUAGUGGGCAGGACCGUUCGAGCGUCAUUUCAACCCUUAAGCCUUCGUUGCUUAGUGUUGGGAGCCUACGGCAACGUAGCUCCUCAAAGUUAGUGGCGGAGUUGGUUCACACUCUAGACGUAGUAAUUUUUUAUCUCGCCUAUUAGUUGGACUAAUCCCCUGCCGUAAAACCCCCAAUUUAUCAAGGUUGACCUCGAAUCGGUUCAGACAAACUCGCUAAAUUGAAGCAUCUUAGUCAGCGAAGGAAAAGAAACCAACAGGGAUUGCCCUAGUAACGGCGAGUGAAGCGGCAACAGCUCAAAUUUGAAAUCUG
rnacentral:rRNA from 1 species